rnacentral:rRNA from 1 species
UUAACUUUUCAAAAAAUUUACAUUAUUUAAUUUUAAAAUUUUUUUAAAAGUAAAAAAACUUUUAUAUAAUAGAAAGACGACAAGACCCUAUUGAACUUAACUAAAGUUAAACUGGGGAAGUAAAUUAAUUAUUAUUUUAGUUUAAAAAAUCAAACUAGAAUCUAAUCUAAUUAAUAAUUAAGUUACCAUAGGGAUAACAGCGUAAUUAUAUUUAUAAGACCUUAUAUAAAAUAUAGAUUUCGACCUCGAUGUUGAAUUAAAAACCUAAUUUAAGCAAAUUUUAAAAAAGGAAGUCUGUUCGACUUUUAAAUAUUUACAUGAUUUGAGUUCAGACCGGUGUAAGCCAGGUCGGAUUCUAUCUUCUAUACAAUUUUUUGUAGUACGAAAGGACCUAAAAAUAUAAUUAUAUUAUAAUAUUAGCAAAUUAAUGCAUUAGAAUUAGAAUCUAAUAAAACUUAAAUUCUUUUUAUAAUAAAUUAUAUUAUAAUUGUAAUCAGAAUUUUAAUUAGAGUUGCAUUUUACACUAUUUUAGAACGAAAAAUUUUAGGGUAUAUACAAAUU